rnacentral:rRNA from 1 species
GACGAAGGGGGCUAGCGUUGUUCGGAAUUACUGGGCGUAAAGCGUGCGCAGGCGGUUCGUUGUGUCGGCGGUGAAAGCCCCGGGCUUAACCUGGGAAUGGCCGUCGAAACUGGCGAACUGGAGUGUGGCAGAGGGGGGUGGAAUUCCGCGUGUAGCAGUGAAAUGCGUAGAGAUGCGGAGGAACACCGAUGGCGAAGGCAGCCCCCUGGGCUGACACUGACGCUCAGGCACGAAAGCGUGGGGAGCAAACAGG